rnacentral:rRNA from 1 species
GCACAACGCGAAGAACCUUACCCACCUUUGACAUGUACGGAAUCCUUUAGAGAUAGAGGAGUGCUCGAAAGAGAGCCGUAACACAGGUGCUGCAUGGCUGUCGUCAGCUCGUGUCGUGAGAUGUUGGGUUAAGUCCCGCAACGAGCGCAACCCUUGCCAUUAGUUGCUACGAAAGGGCACUCUAAUGGGACUGCCGGUGACAAACCGGAGGAAGGUGGGGAUGACGUCAAGUCCUCAUGGCCCUUAUAGGUGGGGCUACACACGUCAUACAAUGGCUGGUACAAAGGGUUGCCAACCCGCGAGGGGGAGCUAAUCCCAUAAAGCCAGUCGUAGUCCGGAUCGCAGUCUGCAACUCGACUGCGUGAAGUCGGAAUCGCUAGUAAUCGUGGAUCAGAAUGCCACGGUGAAUACGUUCCCGGGUCUUGUACACACCG